AUGGACGUAUCUAAAGGCUUCCUUAGACGAGACAAAACUCUCCAAUUAGUAAGGCAAGAUUCAAGGCCUCUAGCCAUGAAGCAUAGAUUAUCAUGCAAAGCUGAUGAUAUCGAUAGCAUUGAAGAAGUUAUAGAUAUACAAAGAGAUCUAGAAAGAUAUCAAAAAGAUACCCUAAGAAAAAUAAAACCACAACAAGUAUAUCACAUGGGUAUGUUUGAAAGUAAGAGUGGUCUAUACAGAAUAUCUCGAGAAGUAGAAUUAAGUGUGUUAACACACCCAGUAGAUUUAAGAAUUGUAAGCAAAAAUAUUGAAAAUGAACUAAAAUAUUGUGGUUAUAAAUAUAUUCACCAAGAUGAUGUGGGACUACAUAAUUUAGAGAAUGCAAUGGAAGCCAUGGAAGUAGAAAGUAGUGGUAAAAGAAGAAGGGGAUAUGGAGAAUCAUCUGUAAAAAGGGAAGGAGAUAGAGAGAGACCUACCAGAUCAGCUGGACAAUGGCCUCCAGAAAAAGAUGACUAUCAACCUACGUAUAUCCCUGGAUAAUAUAGAUAUAUGGGUACUAAAAGAAGAGAUUUUGAAAAACCAGUGCAAUUACAAAAUUAUAAGAACGAUGGCGCUAUAUUAAACCUAGCAGCUCAUGAUCCAAUAGAUUGGCCGAAUAUAAUCAGCAUAUGGAAAGGUUUAAUAGUUCAAAAAUAUAUACAAAAUCAGUAUAGCAUAUGCACUAAGGUAGAAAAUAUGCUAACAUAUCUUGAAACAUUUUUAGGAGAAUCUGUAAAAGUUCUUUGGGAACAAUGGGUAGAAUCAUACCCUAGUCAAUAUGAAGAAUUAAAAAGGGCAGCAAGUAAUCCUAAUAACUUUGCGAAUGUUAUCUCAAAUAUGAUCAUAGCAGAAGAUCCAGAAUUAGGACAUACCUCAUUACAAAAUGAAAGAUUAAGAGAAAUAGAAAAAUUAACAUUAACUAGCUGGAAAGGUAUCAAAGAAUUUUCCCAGCAUUAUUUGUAUAAUGCUACUACUGCUAAACAAGGUUUUAAUGUAGGCGUAGUAGAGAGGUAUUUUAAUAAGUUGCCUGACCCCCUAGGGUCAAUAAUAUUUGAAGAAUAUAAAAAGGAAACGACAGGAAACGUGGUAAAUAUAUAUCAAGUUGUAACAUUUGUUUUCAAACAAUUAAGAAAGGUGUGUACUAGUAUUCAAGCCCAAAGUUCUAUGAAGAAAUCAGAUUAUAAUUUUUGCAAUAACAUAGUCCAAAUACCACUUACGUAUGGAGAAGAAAGGCAUAGGAAAAACAAAUAUUAUAAAACCCAGAGGAGAGAUAAUAGAAAUUUUAGAACAAAGAAACGAUAUUUCUUAAGAAGAUCAGACAAUAGAGCCCCAUUCUUGCAUAAAAGAAAUGUAAGAAGAUAUAAUCCUAAGAAAACCUAUGAUAAAACAUGCAGGUGUUUCAUAUGUAACUCACCGGAUCAUUUAAGUAGAACUUUCCCUAAUAAAGACCAAAAAAGAUACUCUAGCAAAUAUGAAGAACAAGAGAGAGUGUUAAUUAUAGAUAGCGUUAAUGAAAAUAUAUUAGUAUGUGAUGAUGAAAUAAAAGAUGACGAGUCAAUAUAUUCAAUUAUAGAAACAGAUGAAGUAGAAAAUGAGGCUCCAGAAUAUGAAUCAAGUGAAGAUGAAAUAGACCUAAUAGAUGAUUUGGCCGGUUUAAAAAUUGAAAUGAUGAACCAAGUAGAUUGUGAACACGAUUGGAUUAGAGGAAAAGGUGAUUAUAACAUAAAAUGUGUUUUCUGUAUAUAUUACCCAAGCCAAGAUAAUAGGUUCACAUGUAGCCUGUGUUUAAAACAAGCAUGUGCCUCAUGUCUAAGAGCCAAUAAUCAAAAAUGGAGAUAAGAGAUAGAAUUGGAACCAGAAGAGCGAAUAUUAUCCAGUAGGGUUAGAAAUUUAGAAAAUAGAAUAAAUAAGCUAGAAGCAGAGCUAGAAAAACUUAAAGAUGAGUUAGAAAAUAGUAAAGAGCAAAAUAAUAAUGUUCCAAAAAACACUGAAAUGAAAGAGCAAAUGGUAACAGUAAGGGAUAAAAAAGGAGACAUAUUGAUACAAUUGAAAGACGCAAUUACUAGUUUUGGAAACAAAUAUAUUGUUCGAUUACCAUUCAAAGAAGUGUUAGGAAUAAGGAUCCCAGUUAAGAAUGUUCUGAAGCCAAAUAUUUCAUAUAAAAUACUGGCACUAUUAGAUACUGGUUGCACUAAGAAUAUCAUUCAUGAUAAAUAUUUUAUGAGAUGUCCCGAAAUAGUUGAAACUAUAGAUGAUAAUAAAGCUGAAGUAUCUACCGAUAUGUCAGGAAUAAAGAAGAUACAUAAUCAGGUAGCAUAUAAUAUUGAAGCUUACAUAAAUGGCACAAAAUAUAUAAUAGAUGAAAUUCCAAUAAGAGAUUUGUCAGUAAUAAAUGAUGACAUGAUAAUAGGGUUAAGAUUUUUACAACAAUCUUUACAAACCACAAUUAUACAUGAAGAAGGGGUAACAUUUAUUCCUUAUCAAGAUAAUGUUCCAUACAUAUCUGAAGUAAGAAAACAAAGAAAGUCCUUACAAAAUGUGGAAAUAUCUAAUUUAGAGGAUGAAUAUGGCACAAGUCCAGAUCCCCUUGAAUUUUGUAAAUAUCUAACUUAG
rnacentral:rRNA from 1 species